GACGAACGCUGGCGGCGCGCCUAACACAUGCAAGUCGAACGAGCGAGCGAGAGCUUGCUUUCUCGAGCGAGUGGCGAACGGGUGAGUAACGCGUGAGGAACCUGCCCCAAAGAGGGGGACAACAGUUGGAAACGACUGCUAAUACCGCAUAAGCCCACGGUAAAGUAUGGCAUAGAGGGAAAAGGAGCAUUGGGUUGUGAGUUGGAUAGGUGUCCGAUUAGCUAGUUGGUGUGGUAAUGGCACACCAAGGCGACGAUCGGUAGCCGGACUGAGAGGUUGAACGGCCACAUUGGGACUGAGACACGGCCCAGACUCCUACACACUAGCCCAAUACAUAAUAUUUCACCAUCAAGGAAACCCUGAUGCACCGACGCCGCGUGGAGGAAGAAGGUCUUCGGAUUAUAAACUCCUAUUAUCUAUGACUAUAAUAACUAUCCCCCACAAGAAAGUGACGGCUAACUACCUA
rnacentral:rRNA from 1 species